rnacentral:RNase_P_RNA from 1 species
AAAGUAGGAGACACAGUCGCGCUUUAAAUGCAAGUUUAAGGUGAGGAAAGUCCGAGCUCCACAGGACCAAGGCGCCCGGUAACACCGGGGCGGAGUGAUCCGACGGACAGUGCCGCAGAAACUAUACCGCCACGCCAUAGGUGUGGUAAGGGUGAAAUCGUAGUGUAAGAGACUACGGCGCCGACGGGUAACCGUUGGUGCGGGUAAACCCCGCCUGGAGCAAGGCCAAAUAGAGGAAGAGGGGUUGGUUCGCCCCGUUAUUAUUCCCGGGUAGGCCGCCUGAACCGCCGGGCAACCGGCGGUCAAGACAAAUGACUGGAGCUCCCUGUCACACGGGAGUCACAGAACUCGGCUUAACUCCUGCUUUCCAA